UGGGCCGUGACUUGAGUCAGUCUAGCUGGGUACGGACUCAGGCAUGACCAGCCGAGGAGGCCUUAUGAAGAUGAAAAUUACAUCCUGAGUAAAUAUCACAGAACUCAACAAAGGUUAUAUCCUAGAGGACCAGGGAAAAGAUCUGUGUAGAUCAACUGGGUAGUGCUUUGAUUCAACACACGCGUGUGCGUGUGUGCGUGCGUGUAUGUUGCCCACGCAUCUAAGGAGAAGCAAAACAAUCACUUUCAAAGACAAGUGAACAUGUGCAGGUAGCCCAUGCUGAAAGUGGUCUAAUCAAUCAUUUCUUCCCUGGGGUCCAUGUCUCAUUUAUUUAGUCUUCAAAUAUAUGCAAAGCAAAAAUAUCUCUAUUUAAUAGACUCGAUUCAGUGCCUUUUGCACCCAAGGCAUUGAGCUGGAGGUGCUCUCUGUCUCCCAGGAGCUGGCAACUCAGAAGGGGACUUGAGACUCUUCCAUAAUCUGCUCAUCCUCCAGGUCCUGUGUUUCCUGAAGUCAGUUGUCAUGUGUCCUUUGACAAAUGGGCUGCGGGAGUGCUGCCCUUACCUUGAAGAAUCCUCUCCUGGGUUUUCUUACCCUCACCCACAGGACUGCCUUUGACUCUUUGCAAAACUGGAAAUAAAUAAGACCCGUCCCUAAA